UCCUGCGAGCCNUUGUAGUAAUACAAGGCAGNACGGCUCAGUAACGCGUAGUCAACCUAACCUAUGGACGGGAAUAACCUCGGGAAACUGAGUAUAAUGCCCGAUAGAACAUUAUGCCUGGAAUGGUUUAUGUUCCAAAUGAUUUAUCGCCGUAGGAUGGGACUGCGGCCUAUCAGUUUGUUGGUGAGGUAAUGGCCCACCAAGACUAUUACAGGUACGGGCUCUGAGAGGAGUAGCCCGGAGAUGGGUACUGAGACACGGACCCAGGCCCUAUGGGGCGCAGCAGGCCGAGAAAACUUUGCAGAUGNGCUAAAGC
rnacentral:rRNA from 1 species